AUGUUCUCAACCUUAUUGGUUUCUCGAUCAAGGAAGGCUUGGACUUUGGGGGUUUUUUCAUUGCUGGCCUCCCUUGAAGCCAGCUCCUCCUAAAUGUAUUAGUGGGGUCUGCUUUGCCGAUCCUUGACGUGAUAAGAUGCUUCUACGUCUUGGGUUUCGCACUGUCGCUUUGGACCCUGCUUCUAACCGUCUUGCAUUCAGGACAGAGUCAUGAA
rnacentral:misc_RNA from 1 species